CCGUGAGGCCCUGAGGACCACCGAGAAGACGCGAAGGCCCUGCCCCGUCCGGGGAAACCAGUUGGGAAGCCGAGACGCGCGUUCGCACAUCUUCCUCUCCCGGGAGCUGAGGUGCAGGGAGGAACCCCUCCCGCGACCCCACGUCGUGCCCUUCGUGACCCCUCCGGCCCCCCCGUCUGUCGUGACCGCCAGUGACCCAGAGUCCGCGUGUGUUUCCCGAGGCAGCAGCAUUUCCCCGAACGCCUCUUUGCUCUCACUGCUGCGCUACAGCGUCCCCCAAUUUUACAGUUGACCGCGCUCUACCAGCAGCAGUUUUCCAAACGGGAAGAUGUCUUUUACAGCCGCUUAAUUCACUCUUAACAGAUUCGGAAGUGGGUUUCUGUGCUGCUUUUGAUUCUUCCCUGGACUGUCUGUUCGUUUAUGUUACAGGAGGACUAUUGAAUUAUUAUCAUCAUUUUAAAACCAUAAAGUGCAGAUAAGUCUAAAGAAGAAAGCAAAAACCCCGUGAUUCCAUCAGAGAGACCACUACCAAGUUUUGGUUGCUUAUCUGCCAAACUUAGCUUCUGGUGAGCGCAGCCCUGACGGCAGCUCGGUGGCGGUGGCGGGCGGGGACUCUGCGGAGGCAGGCGACCAGCGCACGGUGACACCUGAUGGGCCGGGGGCCAGGCUGUCGGGUUUCUGUGCAGUCCUGUGACACGGGGGCACCAGCCCUGGGCUUCGCUGUCCCCGAACUCGGUGUUCUGGGCACAAGGUCCUGUCUCAGCUGCAGACUUCCUAGGCUGGGUCUCUUCCCUGUUGUCCCUUUGAGAAUAAAGGUCUAGAAACAAACACAA